CUGACUGAGUGAAGUUCAUACAAUAUAGAGCACAGCUUUAGGGUUUCUCUCCGGAGUGAACACGUCUGUGCUUAGUCAGGUUUCUUGACUGAGUGAAUCUCUUUCCACACUGGUCACAGCUGUACGGCUUCUCACCGGUGUGUCUGCGCAUGUGUCCUUUCAGGGUGUUUCGUCGAGAAAAACUCAUUCCACAGACAUGGCAGCGAAAAGGUUUCUCUCCUGUGUGUGUACGCAUGUGUUCAUUCAGGGCUGUGGCAUCUUUGCAGCUCUUCCCACAUUGAUCACAGCUGUAAGGUUUCUCUCCUGUGUGUACACGCUUGUGAAUAGUCAGGGCUCCUGGUUGAGCAAAACUCUUCCCACAAUGAUCACAACUGUAAGGUUUCUCUCCUGUGUGUACAUGCUUGUGAAUAGUCAGGGCUCCUGGUUGAGCAAAACUCUUCCC